UACGGAGGGUGCAAGCGUUAUCCGGAUUCACUGGGUUUAAAGGGUGCGUAGGUGGGCAGGUAAGUCAGUGGUGAAAUCUCCGGGCUCAACCCGGAAACUGCCAUUGAUACUAUCAGUCUUGAAUAUCGUGGAGGUAAGCGGAAUAUGUCAUGUAGCGGUGAAAUGCUUAGAUAUGACAUAGAACACCGAUUGCGAAGGCAGCUUACUACACGAUCAUUGACGCUGAGGCACGAAAGCGUGGGGAGCAAACAGG
rnacentral:rRNA from 1 species